rnacentral:tRNA from 6 species
CGCAGAGUAGAGCAGCCAGUAGCUCGCCAGGUUCAUACCCUGGAGGUCGCCGGUGCAAAUCCGGCCUCUGCUACCA